UAACGCGAAGAACCUUACCAGGUCUUGACAUUUUCUGCUAACCUAAGAGAUUAGGCGUUCCCUUCGGGGACGGAAUGACAGGGGGUGCAUGGUUGUUGUCAGCUCGUGUCGUGAGAUGUUGGGUUAAGUCCCGCAACGAGCGCCACCCUUAUUGUCAGUUGCCAGCAUUUAGUUGGGCACUCUGGCGAGACUGCCGGUGACAAACUGGAGGAAGGUGGGGAUGACGUCAAAUCAUCAUGCCCCUUAUGACCUGGGCUACACACGUGCUACAAUGGACGGUACAACGAGUCGCGAAACCGCGAGGUCAAGCUAAUCUCUUAAAGCCGUUCUCAGUUCGGAUUGUAGGCUGCAACUCGCCUACAUGAAGUUGGAAUCGCUAGUAAUCGUGGAUCAGU
rnacentral:rRNA from 1 species